rnacentral:rRNA from 1 species
ACACUGACGUCGCGACGCAUAUCAAUAAGCGGAGGAAAAGAAACUAACAAGGAUUCCCUUAGUAACGGCGAGUGAAGCGGGAAGAGCUCAAAUUUGAAAUCUUCAAGGUUUUACCUUGACGAAUUGUAGUUUAAAGAAGUGUUUUCUGUUGAAGUUUUGGUAAAAGUUCUUUGGAAUAGGACAUCAUAGAGGGUGAGAAUCCCGUAUUUGGUCAUUCCUUCUAGCUUUGUGAUACACUUUCAAAGAGUCGGAUUGUUUGGGAAUGCAGUCCAAAAUGGGUGGUAAAUUUCAUCUAAAGCUAAAUAUUGGCGAGAGACCGAUAGCGAACAAGUACCGUGAGGGAAAGAUGAAAAGAACUUUGAAAAGAGAGUUAAACAGUACGUGAAAUUGUCAAAAGGGAAGCGUUUGACACCAGUGUUGUUUUCUCGAAAAUCAAUUAAAAAUGGCUGGAUUCUGUGUUGUAUUGACCUUAACAGCUUUCUUCACUUUUUUCCUGUCUUUUUUAAUGCACUUCUCGUUUAACAAGUCAACAUCAGUUUCUUUUGUUGUAAAAGGGUCAUUGGAAGGUGGCUUUCUCUUCGGAGAAAGUGUUUAUAGCCUUUGGCCUCUGCAAUCGGAGAGAUUGAGGUCUGCAGCGUAGAUCCUUCGGGGUUAGAUACAUUUGUGCUAAGUUAUAGCCUUUUCAUAGACAACUUGUUGACUAUGAUCAGUCAUGUAGCUUACUCGCUUAUGCUAUUUUACCUACGCUUAGGAUGUUGAGUCGUAGAGCACGCAG